UAUUCUUUGGCAGUACAAUUACUGUGCCAGAUGUAGAAUUAUGUGACAUUGGAGAAGAGUUACAUCUACACUUGACGAGGACAUUGGAUGAUAAGGUGGUUGGUUAUACGAUUUGCGGUGACAUACGGUUAUCCUCCUGCAUCAAUGAAAUUAAAUGCACCCAACACCAGGUACAUCGAGCAGAUAACACACACACACAUAAGCAUAACUUUAUUGCGCAAUGGAGUGUGCACCUAUUUUUAAACGGGUCAAUUGGAAAUAAAUUGGAACAAGGGUAACACAUGCAUGCAGAGGCAAGGACACUGUUAAUUGUCUAUGGUACAGGGGAUUGGAUAAUCGAGAAUGAUGAUAAGUUUGGUAAAUAGACACCGGAUGAUGAUAUUGUUGAUCUAUUGCAUGGAGUGAGUAGAUUUUGAUGGAUUGAUUUUGGCGACGCUGUCAGGAAUUUCCACCAAUUCGUUUCGAAAUUUCCAAAUUCAUACAAACUCAAGAGGAGAAGUUAGUUAGAAGAAAGAACUGCACAUUGGAAGCUAAAUAAUAAUUAGAUAAUUCAUAUUGUCCGUUGAAAACGAAUUGUUUAUAAUAUUAUACAGUCGUUGGUGGUAAAUAAAUGUCACAGCUGGUAAAAAAAUUAUUUCCUCUCGAUAAGCGAGUUUUGUUAUUAGACAUCAAAUAGAU